CUCAGUUGCCAGAGUUGUUGGGAAAUUGUGGCAUUGUGAUUAGUAUCGUCUCAGCUGAUUUCUUCGAUCGUUAUCACGAGGCUUUGUCGAUCAGGCUCGCAAAAAUUACGGCAGAAGAUAAUUCUUAUAAAUUCGUGCUGAUCUAAUUUUUAACUCACUCGACGCUGGGGUACGAGGUGCAUCGAACGAUAAGAUUCACACGAAUAUUUCCACCUCGAAUAUAGGAGAUGACUCACUGGAAUUUAACAUUACGUUUCGCUGCAAUAUGUCUGUUUUAUUGCUUGAUAAUUCAGGGUCUUGGUGCACGAAGAUUGCGAAGAAUGUCGGGUGGUACUGAGGCAGAUUCAUCAGUUAUUUUUUAUCAAGCGUCCUUGAGAAGUGACGACUAUCAUUUUUGCGGUGGUGCUAUAAUAAGCGAGAAGCACAUUCUCACUGCUGCACACUGUGUCGCUGAUUUGUUUGUACCACCUUACGAUGAUUUAACAGUGGUCACGGGGUCUGGUGCACUCCGAGGUGGUAAUCAACAUGAAGUAUUCAAUGUCAGUUGGCACCAGGAGUUUCACCUGGAGUCUCGUGCUAAUGACAUUGCCGUUAUUACCCUGAGACAAGAGAUAAAUUAUGAUGAAUUUCAAGGACCAGUACUACUACCCGAAUCUCCACCGCCGUACAAUGUGAAAGGUGUGGUAAGUGGAUUUGGUCGGCUUAAAAAGGACAACAUAUAUCCAUCGAAGACCCUUCAGAGAACUUCCGCGGUCGUCAUCACCAGAGAGGAUUGUCAGAAAUUCAUGAACUACACACUUUUACACGGUCAAAUUUGUGGUUCUGCUCCGAGGGGCGUUGGGAUUCAGAAGGAUGAACGAGUUUAAUAAGUUAUCAGAUCGUGAUAAAUUAAAUUCUUCAGAAUUUUUGUUUGGAAAUCCGUGGGGAUUAACUUUUGCGUGGUACUGUCUUGGCAUAUCUUGAGCCCGAAACCGACAAUUAUCUUAGGCCUCUUUUACGGGAGACAGUGGUGGUCCUCUUGUGGUGGAUAACGUCGUCGUUGGCAUAGCAUCAUGGAAUAUUCCAUGGGAUCCGGCGGCUCCUGACGGCUAUACUGAUGUGUACGAAUAUAUGGACUUUAUCAAGAUGAUCAUGAAGCA